rnacentral:tRNA from 1 species
GGGCCUGUAGCUCAGUUGGGAGAGCGCCGCGUUCGCAACGCGGAGGCCGAGGGUUCGAAUCCCUUCGGGUCCACCA